rnacentral:misc_RNA from 1 species
UCUCCGUUGGUGAACCAGCGGAGGGAUCAUUACCGAUUUUACAACUCCCAAACCCCUGUGAACAUACCAUUUGUUGCCUCGGCGGUGCCUGCUUCGGCAGCCCGACAGAGGACCCAAACCCUUGAUUUUAUACAGUAUCUUCUGAGUAAAUGAUUAAAUAAAUCAAAACUUUCAACAACGGAUCUCUUGGUUCUG